rnacentral:rRNA from 1 species
GUGGGGAAUAUUGGGCAAUGGGCGAAAGCCUGACCCAGCAACGCCGCGUGAAGGAAGAAGGCCCUCGGGUUGUAAACUUCUUUGACAGGGGACGAAACAAAUGACGGUACCCUGAAAACAAGCCACGGCUAACUACGUGCCAGCAGCCGCGGUAAUACGUAGGUGGCAAGCGUUAUCCGGAUUUACUGGGUGUAAAGGGCGUGUAGGCGGGAUUACAAGUCAGAUGUGAAAACUAUGAGCUCAACCCAUAGCCUGCAUUUGAAACUGUAGUUCUUGAGUGAUGGAGAGGCAGACGGAAUUCCUCGUGUAGCGGUGAAAUGCGUAGAUAUGAGGAGGAACACCAGUGGCGAAGGCGGUCUGCUGGACAUUAACUGACGCUGAGGCGCGAAAGCGUGGGGAGCAAACAGGAUUAGAUACCCCUGUAGUCC